AGCACGGGCUUCGGCCUGGUGGCGAGUGGCGAACGGGUGAGUAAUACAUCGGAACAUGUCCUGUAGUGGGGGAUAGCCCGGCGAAAGCCGGAUUAAUACCGCAUACGAUCUGAGGAUGAAAGCGGGGGACCUUCGGGCCUCGCGCUAUAGGGUUGGCCGAUGGCUGAUUAGCUAGUUGGUGGGGUAAAGGCCUACCAAGGCGACGAUCAGUAGCUGGUCUGAGAGGACGACCAGCCACACUGGGACUGAGACACGGCCCAGACUCCUACGGGAGGCAGCAGUGGGGAAUUUUGGACAAUGGGCGCAAGCCUGAUCCAGCAAUGCCGCGUGUGUGAAGAAGGCCUUCGGGUUGUAAAGCACUUUUGUCCGGAAAGAAAUCAUUCUGGCUAAUACCCGGAGUGGAUGACGGUACCGGAAGAAUAAGCACCGGCUAACUACGUGCCAGCAGCCGCGGUAAUACGUAGGGUGCGAGCGUUAAUCGGAAUUACUGGGCGUAAAGCGUGCGCAGGCGGUUUGCUAAGACCGAUGUGAAAUCCCCGGGCUCAACCUGGGAACUGCAUUGGUGACUGGCAGGCUAGAGUAUGGCAGAGGGGGGUAGAAUUCCACGUGUAGCAGUGAAAUGCGUAGAGAUGUGGAGGAAUACCGAUGGCGAAGGCAGCCCCCUGGGCCAAUACUGACGCUCAUGCACGAAAGCGUGGGGAGCAAACAGGAUUAGAUAC
rnacentral:rRNA from 1 species